rnacentral:lncRNA from 1 species
GACGAGACUGAAACAGCAGCCAAACAAGGAAAUGACCAAUUUGGCAAGAAACAGAAACCUACAGGUUUGAGAUGUUGUACAAACACAAAUGGAAUUUUAAAAAAAUCAAAAGAACUUUAUGACAAGAUGCAUAGCAAUCCAACUUUUGAAAACUAAAGACAAAGAAGCUACCUACAAAGAAAAACAGAAGGAUAACAAAUUAUCUACAGGGUGAAACUAAUUCAGAUGACAGUGGAGUGCUCAUCAGAAAACGUGGAGACAGAAUUAAGUGGCACAAAGUUUCAAGAACCCAGGAAACAAGGGUCAAGCCACGCUCCUCCACAGCAACAAGCACCUUGAACAAUUGAACGGAAAUCAGAAGUUGUCACAUUGAGGAAACCCAAGGGAACCUGUCACCCACCCUUCUACCAUAAAAGAAUGGCUCCUAGGAGCUCUCUAAACAGAAAGGAAAUAAUAGAAGGCAAUCUGAGACGUCAGAAAGAAAGGAGGAAAAUAAUCAACACCACAUUUCCUUCUCUUGAGUUCCCUGAAUUAUGUUUGAUGGUUUAAGAAAAAUUCAUACACUGUUUGGCAUGGUUCUACAUUUAUGUCAAGGAAGUGUUUAAAAUAAUGAGAUUUUAAACAGGGAGGGUAAAGACAUAUAAAAGGCAUGUAAGUUUUCUGUAGCUCACUUGAACUGGUAAAAUAAUGACACUGAUGUACUGUGUCUCUAUAUAGACAGAAACCUAAACCGCUAUAUAAACCAAUCUUAUCAAAAACACUAUGGAUACAGCAAUGUGUAAUUCUAAAAUAUAUUGCAGCCCCCACAGAGAGGCAAGGAAAAGAAAAUGGUCCCAGAAAACAAAUGAAACAUUACAAACAGAAAGUGAACAACAAAAUGGUAGACAUAAGCCGGCUCAUUUCAUAAAGUAUGUUAAAUGUAAAUGGUUCAAAGACUGAUUAGAAGAGUGGAUGAAGAGAUAUGAAGCAAGUAUAUUCUGCUUACAAAGAAACUAAUGACAAAUAUAAUGAUAUAGGCAGGUAGGAAAGAAUGGAUGGACAGAGAUGUACCAUGCCUGCAGACAUUAAGCAAAGGAAAGCAGCACUGGAUGUAUUAAGAUCAGAUAGAGUGACCCACAGGGACAUUACACAAUGAUAAAAGGGUCAAUCCAACAAAAACCCCAACAGAGGGACUGGGCUGAUGGCUCAGCAGUAGAGUGCUUACCUAGCAUGUGUGAGGCACCUGGUUCAAUUUUCAGCACCACGUAUAAAUAAAUAAAAAUGAAAGUCCAUUAACAACUAAAAGAGUAUUUUUAAAAAUAACAGAAGGUAUACGUGCAUAUGCAACAAAAAUGGAUGGAAAU